rnacentral:rRNA from 1 species
UACGUAGGGGGCUAGCGUUGUCCGGAAUAAUUGGGCGUAAAGAGCGUGUAGGCGGUCCGGUAAGUCCGCUGUGAAAGUCGGGGGCUCAACCCUCGAAUGCCGGUGGAUACUGUCGGGCUAGAGUGCGGAAGAGGCGAGUGGAAUUCCUGGUGUAGCGGUGAAAUGCGCAGAUAUCAGGAGGAACACCUAUUGCGAAGGCAGCUCGCUGGGACGUUACUGACGCUGAGACGCGAAAGCGUGGGGAGCAAACAGG